GGGCGAAUAGCUCAGUUGGUAGAGCAUCUGCUUUACGCGCAGGGGGUCACAGGUUCGAACCCUGUUUCGCCCACCC
rnacentral:tRNA from 1 species